rnacentral:lncRNA from 1 species
GCUAAGAGAUCUGCCCAAAGACGAUUACCACGGGUCUAUUUAACAACCAUUCCCAGAUUGAAUCGAAGAUCGGCAUCUAUGGUAUUAUCGAAAGAGGACAAAGGACGGCCAAGGACCAAGAACAGUCUCUUUCCUGUGCUAUCAAGAACGAAAAGAAGGACGGGAAGGAGCAGGAAUUGCGGGAUGCUAUAGAGAUAGAUGGCUAUGAGACUAGUCCAAAGAGUCACUUUCUAAAGCUUCCUCUCCUCUCUUAACGGAACAAAUCGUCGAUUUCAAACUGAACUAGCCCUUUUUUGCCCACCCACUUACCCCC